CCUACGGGAGGCUGCAGUGGGGAAUUUUGCGCAAUGGGCGAAAGCCUGACGCAGCAACGCCGCGUGGGUGAUGAAGGUCUUCGGAUCGUAAAACCCUGUCGUUGGGGACGAAGGUGGGGGCGUUAAUAGCGUUUCUGCUUGACGGUACCCGGAGAGGAAGCCCCGGCUAACUCUGUGCCAGCAGCCGCGGUAAUACAGAGGGGGCAAGCGUGGUGCGGAAGGAUUGGGGGUAGUGGUCGCGUUGGCGGGUGUAAUCCCCGAGCUCAACUUGGGAACUGCAUCUGAGAGUGGAAUGCUAGAGUACUGGAGAGGGUGGUGGAAUUCCUCGUGUAGCGGUGAAAUGCGUAGAGAUGAGGAGGAACACCAGUGGCGAAGGCGGCCACCUGGACAGUAACUGACGCUGAGGCGCGAAAGUGUGGGUAGCAAACAGGAUUAGAUACCCUAGUAGUC
rnacentral:rRNA from 1 species